rnacentral:lncRNA from 1 species
CAGUGACGCAGACCUAAAGCCCCCGCUUAAAUUGGUCUCUCCUUCCAGUUGCAGUCUGUGGUCCUUUGCGGCUGUGCGCCGGGUCGCUAUUGCCUUAAGGUGGGCGAACUGUACCCAGAAAGGAGGAAGUGUGGAAGCUGACCGCGAUCCUCGACAGGUCUUUAAGUCCGUUGGUGCAGCAGAUUUCAAGGCUGAGAGAGGAAGACUGCUUCUGAUCCCUGCAGGAAGAAGAAGCAGGAAAAAAA